UCCCUGGUGGUCCAGUGGUUUAGAAUCUACCUUCCAAGGCAGAGGAUACAGGUUCAAUCCCUGGCCAGGGAA
rnacentral:tRNA from 1 species